CGACAACAUAGUGCUGUGCGCAUGCCCUCCAGGCGCCAAUGACGAGGUGUCAAAGCUUUCCAACAGGUAUAUCCCAAUACACAACUUCCUUUUUAUAAUAGUCAAAGUUGGUUUGGAAGGGACUUUGGUUGCAGGAGUUCAAAGUUCACGCAUGUGACUUGGCGAUCUUAGUUGAAUGUUAUCUAACUUAGUUGUUGUGUGAGUGGAAAAUGUGAAAAAAGUGAGGGUAGGGUCUUUGAGUGAUAAGCACUGGGAGUGUAUGUAUUUGUUAUGGUGUUGAAGACGCAACAUAAUUAAACAAGGGGAGUACACAAUCACCUAUUCUAGUGAUGAAGGGAGGGUUGAGAGGUGGCCUUCCACUAAUAAAAAACUAACAAUUAAUAAUUAAUAUUUGUCCGUAAAAAAAAUCACCUAUUCUGAAACAAGGAUAUUUUAGGGAAAAGAAUUAGAAAAAAGAGUGUAUUAGUAAUCAAGGGAAGUGGAAAUAGCAACUCCCUAAUUAAAAUAAUAAAGAAACAGACUUUGUUGACGCGGCUGAGCCCAAAACCAACAACAAAUAGGUGAAAAAGAUCAGGGCUUGGGCUGAAGAGAGGCUAAGCUUCAUUCAUUUUGGGCCAGCCAUGCAAGGGACAAGGGCAUGAUCCAGACCAGAUUUAAAAGCACAAAGAUGAAGGGCUUUGCUCCUGCACAGAGCCCCUUCGUUUAGCAUAUCCUCUGUCUCUCUUUCAAUCUGUUGUUAUCUCCCCAAAUUCCAUAAUCAGUUUUUAGUCAAGCUAUUUGUAAUUAGUUUGAUUGGAUAUUUUUAUUUAUUUAUUUAUUUUGUAA